GGCUCCAGGCUCUGAGCUGUCAGCACAAGAGCCCCAUAUGGGGCUUGAACCCAUGAGCUGUGAGAUCAUGACCUGAGCAGAAGUCAGAUGCUCAGCUGACUGAGCCACCCAGGCGCCCUCUUUAGGAUUUUUAAUGAAAGUUGUGCUUCUCCCCUUGAAUUAAUUCCUGACUUUCUCUCUGUCAAAGCCACACUGACUCAAAGUAAGGAUCUGGUUAGACUGACCUUUUGAAGAUGAAGACAUUCUUCCUUGGUGACCAAAAUUUGUUGAAAGUAUGCUUCCUGAUCUAAAUAAUUUUCACAUGAGCACUUAGGUAUCAUCUCCCUUUUAUGGCUGAGGAAAUAAGGCUCAAAUUCAUGGAGCUAGUUAAUGGAGAUGCAGAAUUUGAAUCCAGAUCUAUGUGGCUCAAAAACUUGUAACCCUAUCCAUUGUGAGGAACUGUCUCACUCUUCAAAUUCCAAAGCUCUAAAAUUUUAGAAACUCCUUAUGAUAUAUGCAGUUAUCUUUUAUUAUUAUGUAUUUAUGAAUACAUUGGAUUUGAAAAAAAUUUCAAAAUAUUACACAAUAUUAUUUAACAGUAAAAAUAAGAAGCAUCUAUAGAGAAGCAUCUACAAUUCUCUGCCAACAAGUCAACUUUCCCAAUUUCUUAAUUAUCAUUUGGUUCUUACUCAUAGGAAUAUUCAAAAUCAAGUUGUAAUUACAAAUUUGUAGCUUUAUUAUCUUUAUGUAUUAAAUAUGUACUCCAUGUUAUUAUAAUUUUUGGGUUACUGGUUUUCAUUACUCUAUAUUUGUCCAUUGAAUUAAUGCACUAUACUUCACUGCCCCCAAUACUAAGCAUGUGUAUUAAUCCAAGUACUUCCCUAUUUUAAAUAACAUUCUACAAGCAUCUCAGUUGUUUCGGUAUUUCUUUUUUCCUUUAGGUAAAUUUCCAUGAGUGGGAUUGCUGUGCCAAAGGGCAAGAUGAACAUUUUAAAAUCUGUAAACAUCCUAGAUUAUUUGAAACUCUUGCUGGGAAGGAAUUUUCUCAGACAUGGACUUCAUUUCCUCCUGGUGGGAUCAUACUAGUUCUUGUCAAUGGAAGAUGUGAGUCAUUCUCCAGUACAGGGGGUGAAAAAAUUGUUCAUCUGGAAAACUUCCUUCAGGAUAUUCUCCAAAACUGUAAACUCCAUAAGGACAGGACUUUCUGCUUUUUUCACUGCUAUAUUCACAGGCUUGGAACAGCGCUUGACAUGGGUAGUUUAAUGACUAUUUGAUGAAUGACUUCACCACAGCAUGACCUGCUUCAGGAUGUCUCCCCUAAUACUCCCAAGGUCUGACCUCUGUGCCACUCCUAUGCAUUCAAAAACAUUCUGGGCUACUUCUAUUAUAUAUUCUAUUAUAUAUUCGACUAAAUGUCCACGAUGUUAACUUGUCAGUCUACCCACUAGACUCUAAACUCUUUGUGAGCAGGAAAUGAAUCUCCUUUAUUUGUAUCUCCAGUGCCAAGCACUGACACAAAAUAAAUGAUUAAUAAAUGG